GUGCUGAAGAAGUUAAAUGUUUACUCUACUGGCAGUGUACGUAUAGUUAUUUAGCUGUAGAUAACCACCAAAGUAUAUAAUAUUAUAUAUAUAUACGUACAUACAUAAAAGUCACUUGUCUUUGUGGGGUUCUUGUGUCUUCUCUCCAUGUUCAUGGUGUGGAUGUUGUGGAUUGCAGUGGGGAUGUGUUCCGGUGGGUGUUGUGGGUCAGCCUUCCAGUUGCAAAGGGUGGUCCCAAGUGGUUGUGGAAUAUAUAUACGAUGGAUCUGGAGUGGCAGUCGAAGUCAUAUGUUGUUGAUCGCACACCAUUUCCAUGAUGUAGGGAGUGCUAGGAGGGUGUUGUUGUUGAUGGUAUCAUGAGAGUGCUUCAUCUUCUCCAUUUGCAUAGCUUCCGUUGUGCCCGGUCCUGUGCAAUUG
rnacentral:lncRNA from 1 species